rnacentral:rRNA from 1 species
AACGAACGCUGGCGGCAUGCCUAACACAUGCAAGUCGAACGAGACCUUCGGGUCUAGUGGCGCAAGGGUGCGUAACGGGUGGGAACCUGCCCUUAGGUUCGGAAUCACUCCCCGAAAGGGGUGCUAAUACCGGAUAAUGUCUUCGGACCAAAGAUUUAUCGCCUUUGGAUGGGCCCGCGUUGGAUUAGCUAGUUGGUAGGGUAAAAGCCUACCACGGCGCCGAUCCAUAGCUGGUCUGAGAGGAUGAUCAGCCACACUGGGACUGAGACACGGCCCAGACGCCUACGGGAGGCAGCAGGGGGGAAUAGUGGACAGUGGGCGAGAGCCUGAUCGAGCAAUGCCGCGUGAGUGAUGAAGGCCUUAGGGUUGUAAAGCUCUUUUACCCGGGAUGAUAAUGACAGUACCGGGAGAAUAAGCUCCGGCUAACUCCGUG